AGGGACAGAGGAGGGAAGAACCAGAGGAGGGGGUUCGGCCAAGGAAGCAGUGCAAAGCUUAGGAAACCCUGGCUAGUGAGGCAGAAAGGAACAGAAAGUUUGCUUCUCCAGCUGCAGCGCAGUCAAAGGCCAGAGAACCCCCAAACAGUCUCCCAUGAACUUUUUAGAGUCCAUCACGAUGCAUCUGUUUUCCCUCAGCAAUUAAAAGGAGUCUCAAUAAAAUGUGAGGGAGUCAUCGCUCAAAGCCAGAUGAUCCUGAGCGGGUGCGUGCGCCGUUUUCACCAUCCUCUUUAUGCUGAUGGCACCUAGACUCCCUCCCCGCGACCUGAGAGUGGCAGCCACCUGUAACCCUGGAUGGAAGUCACAGUGACGCUGAAUUGAUCCUUCUCCUCUCCAAAUGGAGAUAUGGCAGCUCCUGUCUUAUGUAUCCCGGUUGCCUUCAGGACCCAGAAACCAUUGCUGAAAAGUGGAGGAGGAGGGAAGGUACCCAGAGAAUGGAAGGUAGCUCUGCCCUUCCUCAGGCACACCAUGCUAAUCCUUACACGGCACUAUAAUG